GUCCAGAGAACCUUCAGCUUGGAUCUUCAGCUUGGACCUUGACUUUUGGACUGCUUCUUGGAGGACUGCUACUGGAUCUUUUCCUCUGGAGGUCGGUGUUGGAGGAUUUCACUUUGGGACUUGGCCUUCAGUCUUCUCCUUUAGAGUUUGUUCCUUUGGAGUUUGUCUUGGGUGGUCAUGGAAGAUGGGUCCCCUGCUGAACUCUUCAGAAGUCAACCAUUCACCCCAACACCCCUUCUCUGGUGCAUUUUACUUCAUAUGCUCUGGGAUAAUCAAGAUUACAAGAAGAAAAUGUUAUGUAAUUGCAGCUUAUAAUAUCUUAGAUAAGAAACCUUUGAUUUGAUAUGAAUAGUUUCAGAAAGUAAUAAAUCUAACAAUAAGAUUUUAUAAAGCA
rnacentral:lncRNA from 1 species